CUCAUGCAUGAACUGAUUUCUGGAAAACCAUAUUAACCAUAAAGCAUAACAGAAGAGUCGGCAUUGAGCGUUGUUACCUCUCUUGAGUACCUAGGACAUCUAUGGAAGAUAUGAAGGCUGUCUUUUGCCCAGGAACAGCAACGGGGACAUUUAUCGUGUGAAAUGACUUUUCUGUACCUGAGAAUAGCAAGAUUAGGAAUAAAAUCCUAGGAAAUUCGCCAAAUAGUGAUUGUGAUUUUUGAAGGUAGUUGUAGGCUCCAUAAUUUCCUGUAAAAUUCUUUAGUUUCGGUCUGUAAUAAAUAAUUACUAGGAUUCGAAAUAGCAUAUUGUAAUAAUUUAUAGGCCCUGUGUACUGAAUACUCGCCAGAUAAUUCUCCUUUCCAAACUUGAGUAUCCUCGUGAUCAGUCUCUGCAAGAGGGAUCUGUAGAAUUUUCUGAGCAAUUUUCGCUUGAAAGGUACUAUUAAUCAAAGCUAUCCUCCAUUUUCUGUUUGUAGUAUCAAUAA